UACGUAGGGUGCAAGCGUUGCCCGGAUUUAUUGGGCGUAAAGAGCUCGUAGGCGGUUUGUCGCGUCUGCUGUGAAAACUGGAGGCUCAACCUCCAGCCUGCAGUGGGUACGGGCAGACUAGAGUGCGGUAGGGGAGAUUGGAAUUCCUGGUGUAGCGGUGGAAUGCGCAGAUAUCAGGAGGAACACCGAUGGCGAAGGCAGAUCUCUGGGCCGUAACUGACGCUGAGGAGCGAAAGCAUGGGGAGCGAACAGG
rnacentral:rRNA from 1 species